rnacentral:rRNA from 1 species
ACGCUCGACACCUACGGGAGACAGCAGUAGGGAAUCUUCCACAAUGGACGCAAGUCUGAUGGAGCAACGCCGCGUGAGUGAAGAAGGUCUUCGGAUCGUAAAACUCUGUUGUUAGAGAAGAACACGAGUGAGAGUAACUGUUCAUUCGAUGACGGUAUCUAACCAGCAAGUCACGGCUAACUACGUGCCAGCAGCCGCGGUAAUCUGAGGCGGCUGGCAAGGC